UACGUAUGGUGCAAGCGUUAUCCGGAUUUACUGGGUGUAAAGGGAGCGUAGACGGAUGGGCAAGUCUGAAGUGAAAGCCCGGGGCUCAACCCCGGGACUGCUUUGGAAACUGUUUAUCUAGAGUGCUGGAGAGGUAAGUGGAAUUCCUAGUGUAGCGGUGAAAUGCGUAGAUAUUAGGAGGAACACCAGUGGCGAAGGCGGCUUACUGGACAGUAACUGACGUUGAGGCUCGAAAGCGUGGGGAGCAAACAGG
rnacentral:rRNA from 1 species